AUGAAACUCAUUGAUCUUGUGCAACACGUUGAACACUGUGUGUCAGUUUUGCGUCGGAAUGAAGCAGCAUUGGACGCUGUAGCUUCGCACACAAUCCCCUUCACUAGAUUGACUGCCGACCCACUUGAGAUAAGUGCGUCAUCUAUUUAUACCCCUGUUAUGUUCAGUAAGGUAAAGGCCGAGAUUGUCAACUUAUCAAGAUGGAAUGUUCUUUUGGUGGAAGAGGACACUGGUUUGGUUAGCUAUGGAGUUGCUCGCAAAGAGUCGGUGCACGUUAGGUUCCAUGUCAUAUGUAUUUUUGAUGGAUCUAAGAUGGAAAGUGCAUAUUGUGGAUGUAGGAAGAUGGAAAGCGAGGAUUUUCCAUGUGCUCAUAUAUUUUGCGUUCUGAAGUACAAUGGGAUAUGCACCAUCCCCGCAUGUUGUGUGAAGGCUAGAUGGACAAUGCAAGCCAAGCCUGCUUUCGGUUCUGUGAGGAGUGCCAAUACACAUGUAUGGUCAGAACAGAUGGAUAAGUACCAUGAACUGCGCAAUAUGGCUAGCGAGGCUUUAUUCACGGCCUCAACUAGCGAAAUGCGGUCAUAAAAGGUGAUGGAGUACCUGAGGAGCAUAUUCGACGAGGGCAACAGAAAUGAUGUGAAUACUGGCACAUCAUCAUUUGUUCCUAUGCCGGCGUAUUUUUCUAGGGCGCGGCAAUGGUUUACAGAUCAAGUUCAAGACCCUAAACCAAUAAUAAAUCCCAAAGGCAGACCAGCCAAAGAAUCGAAUAAGAGGUUGAAGCCAUUCCUGGAGAAUUUGAAAGCAAAAAAGAAAACAUUGAAGAAAGUUCAUGGUCAGUUGAGUAGGGGGAGGAAGAAAAAAGUGAACAAUACUGUGGAAGAAGCAGGAGAAGAAGAAGAAGAAGAAGAAGAAGAAGAAGAAGAAGAAGAAGAAGAAGAAGAAGAAGAAGAAGAAGAAGAAGAAGAAGAAGAAGAGGCGGCAGAAGAAGAGGAUCGUGCUAAUAAGAGGAAACCGGUGAACUUCAGCAAAGGUGACUGAAGUUAUUAUGAUGACUCGGGGGAGAAAGAGAAAAGAGAACAAUGACGAAGUGUGUGCUAAGAACAAAAGACCUUUCAAGAAAACGGCUGGAAAGUCUAAGUAGACAGACAAAGAUGACAAGGGGGACAAAGAAAAGAUGACAAUAAAUCCACUUUUUGUUUGCCAUUAUUCUGUCGAAUUAUUGGUCACAAGUGUUAUACAUUCAGUUUUUUACUAUGGAAUUUAUCAUCAGAGUUAUAUUUGUACUAUGGAAGUUAUCAUCAGAGCUAUUGGAUGUGUGUGUCCUUGUGAACUUGUGAUUAUGUGCUAUGCUAAAUGCUAUGGGAACUAAACCUGUGAACAUGUUCUAUUUGAAUUCUGCCAAAAAUGAGCAUGGGUUCACUUUA